CACGUAGGGGGCGAGCGUUGUCCGGAUUUAUUGGGCGUAAAGAGCUCGUAGGCGGCUCGGUAAGUGAGGUGUGAAAACUCCAGGCUCAACCUGGAGACGCCACCUCAUACUGCCGUGGCUAGAGUCCGGUAGGGGAGCAUGGAAUUCCAGGUGUAGCGGUGAAAUGCGUAGAUAUCUGGAGGAACACCGGUGGCGAAGGCGGCAUCCUGGACCAACACUGACACUGAGGAGCGAAAAGCCAGGAGAGCAAAACGGG
rnacentral:rRNA from 1 species